CCUACGUGCGGCAGCAGUGAGGAAUAUUGGUCAAUGGGCGCGAGCCUGAACCAGCCAAGUAGCGUGAAGGAUGACUGCCCUACGGGUUGUAAACUUCUUUUAUAAAGGAAUAAAGUGAGGCACGUGUGCCUUUUUGUAUGUACUUUAUGAAUAAGGAUCGGCUAACUCCGUGCCAGCAGCCGCGGUAAUACGGAGGAUCCGAGCGUUAUCCGGAUUUAUUGGGUUUAAUGGGAGCGUAGAUGGGUUGGUAAGUCAGUUGUGAAAGUUUGCGGCUCAACCGUAAAAUUGCAAUUGAUACUGGCAGUCUUGAGUACAGUUGAGGUAGGCGGAAUUCGUGGUGUAGCGGUGAAAUGCUUAGAUAUCACGAAGAACUCCGAUUGCGAAGGCAGCUUACUAAACUGCCACUGACAUUGAUGCUCGAAAGUGUGGGUAUCAAACAGGAUUAGAUACCCUUGUAGUC
rnacentral:rRNA from 1 species